ensembl:lncRNA
AGGAGCACUGACCCUCUCCUCUGUGUCUCUAGGUGUUGAGGAGCACUGACCCUCUCCUCUGUGUCUCUAGGUGUUGAGGAGCACUGACCCUCUGUGUCUCUAGGUGUGAGGAGCACUGACCCUCUCCUCUGUGUCUCUAGGUGUUGAGGAGCACUGACCCUCUGUGUCUCUAGGUGUUGAGGAGCACUGACCCUCUGUGUCUCUAGGUGUUGCGGAGCACUGACCCUCUGUGUCUCUAGGUGUUGAGGAGCACUGACCCUCACCUCUGUGUCUCUAGGUGUUGAGGAGCACUGACCCUCUCCUCUGUGUCUCUAGGUGUUGAGGAGCACUGACCCUCACCUCUGUGUCUCUAGGUGUUGAGGAGCACUGACCCUCUCCUCUGUGUCUCUAGGUGUUGAGGAGCACUGACCCUCUGUGUCUCUAGGUGUUGAGGAGCACUGACCCUCUCCUCUGUG